rnacentral:rRNA from 1 species
GAUGAACGCUGGCGGCGUGCCUAAUACAUGCAAGUCGAGCGAACGGACGAGAAGCUUGCUUCUCUGAUGUUAGCGGCGGACGGGUGAGUAACACGUGGAUAACCUACCUAUAAGACUGGGAUAACUUCGGGAAACCGGAGCUAAUACCGGAUAAUAUUUUGAACCGCAUGGUUCAAAAGUGAAAGACGGCCUUGCUGUCACUUAUAGAUGGAUCCGCGCUGCAUUAGCUAGUUGGUAAGGUAACGGCUUACCAAGGCAACGAUGCAUAGCCGACCUGAGAGGGUGAUCGGCCACACUGGAACUGAGACACGGUCCAGACUCCUACGGGAGGCAGCAGUAGGGAAUCUUCCGCAAUGGGCGAAAGCCUGACGGAGCAGCGCCGCGUGAGUGAUGAAGGUCUUCGGAUCGUAAAACUCUGUUAUUAGGGAAGAACAUAUGUGUAAGUAACUGUGCACAUCUUGACGGUACCUAAUCAGAAAGCCACGGCUAUCUACGUG